UCGACGGAGAGUUUGAUCCUGGCUCAGGACGAACGCUGGCGGCAUGCCUAAUACAUGCAAGUCGAACGCGACCAUCCGGUGCUUGCACUGGUGAAGUCGAGUGGCGAACGGGUGAGUAACACGUGAGAAACCUACCCUGGAGUGGGGAAUAACUCGAAGAAAUUCGAGCUAAUACCGCAUACCUUCUUACCGUCGAAUGGUGGUUUGAAGAAAGAUUUAUCGCUCUGGGAGGGUCUCGCGGCCUAUCAGCUAGUUGGUGAGGUAACGGCUCACCAAGGCAUCGACGGGUAGCUGGUCUGAGAGGACGAUCAGCCACACUGGAACUGAGACACGGUCCAGACUCCUACGGGAGGCAGCAGUAGGGAAUCUUGCGCAAUGGGCGAAAGCCUGACGCAGCAAUGCCGCGUGCGGGACGAAGGCCCUAGGGUCGUAAACCGCUUUCAGUAGGGACGAAAAUGACGGUACCUGCAGAAGAAGCUCCGGCCAACUACGUGCCAGCAGCCGCGGUGAUACGUAGGGAGCAAGCGUUGUCCGGAAUUACUGGGCGUAAAGGGCUCGUAGGUGGUUGAGUAAGUCAGAUGUGAAAUCUCAGGGCCCAACCCUGAGCGUGCAUUUGAUACUGCUCUGACUAGAGUCCGGUAGGGGAGUGCGGAAUUCCUGGUGUAGCGGUGAAAUGCGCAGAUAUCAGGAGGAACACCGACAGCGAAGGCAGCACUCUGGGCCGGUACUGACACUGAGGAGCGAAAGCAUGGGUAGCAAACAGGAUUAGAUACCCUGGUAGUCCAUGCCGUAAACGUUGGGCACUAGGUGUGGGGAGAACUCAACUCUCUCCGCGCCGUAGCUAACGCAUUAAGUGCCCCGCCUGGGGAGUACGGCCGCAAGGCUAAAACUCAAAGGAAUUGACGGGGGCCCGCACAAGCGGCGGAGCAUGUUGCUUAAUUCGAGGCAACGCGAAGAACCUUACCUGGGUUGAACUACGUGGGAAAAAGCCGCAGAGAUGCGGUGUCCUUCGGGGUCCACGAUAGGUGGUGCAUGGCUGUCGUCAGCUCGUGUCGUGAGAUGUUGGGUUAAGUCCCGCAACGAGCGCAACCCUUGUCCUAUGUUGCCAGCGGGUAAAGCCGGGGACUCGUAGGAGACUGCCGGGGUCAACUCGGAGGAAGGUGGGGACGACGUCAAGUCAUCAUGCCCCUUAUGUCCAGGGCUGCAAACAUGCUACAAUGGCCGGUACAACGGGCAGCUAAACCGCGAGGUCAAGCGAAUCCCACAAAGCCGGUCUCAGUUCGGAUUGAAGUCUGCAACUCGACUUCAUGAAGCUGGAGUCGCUAGUAAUCCCGGAUCAGCAACGCCGGGGUGAAUACGUUCCCGGGCCUUGUACACACCGCCCGUCACACGCCGAAAGUCGGCAACACCCGAAGUCAGUGGCCCAACCCUUAGGGGAGGGAGCUGCCGAAGGUGGGGCUGGCGAUUGGGGUGAAGUCGUAACAAGGUAGCCGUACCGGAAGGUGCGGCUGGAUCACCUCCUUU
rnacentral:rRNA from 1 species